UGGCUCAGAACGAACGCUGGCGGCAUGCCUAACACAUGCAAGUCGAACGCGUGGAGCGAUCCACGAGUGGCGCACGGGUGAGUAACGCGUGGGAACCUGCCCUGGAGUGGGGGAUAACCCGGCGAAAGCCGGGCUAAUACCGCAUACGUCCUGAGGGAGAAAGAUUUAUCGCUCUAGGAGGGGCCCGCGUCGGAUUAGCUAGUUGGUGAGGUAACGGCUCACCAAGGCGACGAUCCGUAGCUGGUCUGAGAGGAUGAUCAGCCACACUGGGACUGAGGCACGGCCCAGGAUCCUACGGGAGGCAGC
rnacentral:rRNA from 1 species